AUGGAGGCGACCGCGGCGACGAGACGCCUCAUGGGGCUCUGCUGCUGCCUCUCUGGUGUUAUCCUGCUCUCCUUCCUGCUCCCCGGCGCACUGGCAGAGGAGCGAUUCUACGAGUUCGUUGUCCAGGAGACGGUGGUGAAGCGGCUGUGCCAGACGAACCGGAUCAUCACGGUGAACGGGCAGUUCCCGGGGCCGACCAUCGAGGUGCACAACGGCGACACGCUGGCGAUCAGGGCGGUGAACAUGGCGCAGUACAACGUGACCCUCCACUGGCACGGCCUCCGGCAGCUGCGGAACGGGUGGGCGGACGGGCCGGAGUUCGUGACGCAGUGCCCCAUCCGCCCGGGGUCCAGCUACACGUACCGCUACACCAUCCAGGAGCAGGAGGGCACCCUGUGGUGGCACGCGCACAGCUCCUGGCUCCGCGCCACCGUGCACGGCGCGCUCAUCAUCCUCCCCAAGCGCGGCAUGCCCUACCCCUUCCCCAAGCCCGACAAGGAGUUCCCAGUCGUCCUGGCGGAGUGGUGGAGGAGGGACCCGAUCGCGGUGCUCAGGCAGUCCAUGGUCACCGGUGCGCCGCCCAACGUCUCUGACACCAUCCUCAUCAACGGCCAGCCCGGGGAUUUCCUUCCGUGCUCCAGCCAAGAGACGAGCAUCAUUCCGGUGGUCGCUGGCGAGACGAACCUGCUGCGCAUCAUCAACGCGGCCAUGAACUCGGAGCUCUUCGUCUCCCUCGCCGGCCACAAGAUGACGGUGGUCGCCGCCGACGCCGUGUACACCAAGCCCUUCGAGACCACCGUCGUGCUCCUUGGUCCCGGACAGACCACCGACGUCCUCGUCACCGCCCACGCCGCCCCUGGCCGCUACUACCUCGGCGCCCGCGUCUACGCCUCUGCGCAGAACGUCCCCUUCGACAACACCACCGCCACCGCCGUCUUCCAGUACAAGAACGCGGCCGGCUGCCCGCCCACAGGGGCAGGCGCUGGCCUUGGAGGCCACACCGGCCUAGGCCGUCCCCGAUCCUCUGGCAAUCCCGGCCGCGCAGGGCCGGCGCCAAUGUUCCCAAUGCUGCCAGCGAACAACGACACGAACACGGCGACCGGGUUCUCGAACCUCAUCCGGAGCCCGAGGCCGGUGAAGGUGCCUGGACCGGUGACACAGGAGGUGUUCACCACGAUUGGCUUCGGUCUGUUCAACUGCCAGCCGGGCCCGUUCUGCCAGGGCCCCAACAACACCCGGUUCGGCGCGAGCAUGAACAACGUGUCCUUCCAGCUCCCCAACACCGUCUCCCUGCUCCAGGCGCACUACCACCGCAUCCCCGGCGUCUUCACCGAGGACUUCCCGGCUCGCCCGCCGGUGGUCUUCGACUACACCUCGCAGAACGUCCCCCGCGCGCUGUGGCAGCCCGUGAAGGGCACGCGGCUGUACCGCGUCAAGUACGGCGCCGUGGUGCAGAUGGUGUUCCAGGACACGGGCAUCUUCGCCGCGGAGGAGCACCCCAUGCACAUCCACGGCUACCACUUCUACGUGCUCGCCACCGGGUUCGGCAACUACAACCCCAGGCGGGACGAGGCCAAGUUCAACAUGGUCGACCCGCCCAGCCGGAACACCAUCGGCGUGCCUGUCGGCGGGUGGGCCGUGGUGCGCUUCCUGGCAGACAACCCGGGCGUGUGGCUCGUGCACUGCCACAUCGACGCGCAUCUCACCGGCGGGCUCGCCAUGGCGUUGGUGGUGGAGGACGGCAAGACCGAGCUCCAGACCACGAUGCCGCCGCCGCUCGACCUGCCCGUCUGCGGCCCGUAG
rnacentral:rRNA from 1 species